AUUUUUUAUUCCUUAGAGCAAAGAUUCUAGAUUUCUUUCUUUCUUUUCCUUUUUUCUUUUUACAAGCUGUUUAUUUUCCAUCAACCUUAUUUCCACUUCCUGUUUAGAGUCGGUGGAAAUAGAGCUUCAGACUGGUUAGUAGUCCUCCCCACGCUCAGGCCUGAGCAGUGGGAGCUGCAGGCCAGGCCUCAGCAGGGCACCAACCUCCAGACAGGGCCAGAGGGCACCGUGAGCCUUCAGACCCCACCACCACCUCUGGCUGAGUAACAGCGAACUCUGGCGCUGGGGCUGUGCAGCUGGCCUGAAAUUGGUCCUUGCUCACACCCUUCCCAGCAGCGGCCUGCUCUUUCUUGUCCGUCUCCUCAGGAUCUGUGCGGAAGUAGAGCUCUGGCGUAACUUCCCGCGAGCGCUCAAGGGAGCCAGGACUGCACAUGCGCAAGAGUUCCCAGCCAGCGUCUGCCUCGUCAGACCCACUGAGUUAGUUCAGUGUGGUUGCACAAGUUGGCGGCAGCCACGUCGGUGGAGGAGAUCUCCUCUGUCAUACAGAGCAGUGGUAGGCAGGUUAACAUGAGAUGCCUCUGGAGAGGUUGGUGGCGAGUACCGGGAGCAGGAGCCACCAGAAGUCUCGGCUCUGGAAAGUUGCCUGGAUCUGGUAAUGGAAGGUUCCAGGAAUGAAGCAGCCAGCAGCCAGAGUGGCUCCAGGGGCAGCAGCAACCUUCAGCACAGCCUGCUGGCCAGUAGUCUUGGAGGAUGUGACAUGACAUCACCGGGUUUUUAAAUGACAACAAUGGCACGAGCUGCCAGCAGAGCUUCUCCCAGGCUGUCCUCAGAUUUAUGCUGUAAAUGCCAUUUUCUUUUCGUAGAUGUACCGAUCCAUUUGGAAGUCAAGCAUUAAGGAAACCUGAACAAAUCUACAAGCACCACUGCCCACCCUAGAACUUGAAGACUGAAUUUAUUGGGAGCUGAUUCAAUGAACUGCAAGACUGUUGUUCUCCUUCUCUGGAUUCGACUUAAAUAUAUGAAGGUGCCAGUUGGAAAUAUAACAAGAAGGAAAAGUCCUGUAUUUAUUUUCCUGUGGCCUUUCUGCCAGGUCUCUGUAGAUCGACUGUAUACAUCUACCAACACUACUCAGCAUCUUCCAAGGGCCCUCUCCAUACAGCCACCUUCCCAGAAUUUUGAUUUGAAAGGAAGCUGGCUAUCAAUACUGUCGUCACUGAGAAAUGUUGUUGGUGAUACACCUACCUAUGGGAAAACCAAAUCCAGCUGUUGGAGCCUGUGACGUGUAAGGUAUAAGCUUGAGCUGAUGAAGCGUCUACCUGAAUUGGGCAUAAAUUCAUUCUUACUGGCUAACUAACCAGUUAUGGUUUUCUGCAUGGAAGAUAUUGCUGGACAAGAUGUUUCAGGAAGUGUGUGUUUUGGGUCCCAAAUUAGUAGAAGGAAGGGUGAAUGGCUCAUUUUAGUUAGAAGUGUCUUUAUUGCACACUAUUUCUCCCUUGAAUACUCUCUAUAUAUGGUUCAUAAUUGUCUUGCUUGGUUCUGAGAGCAGUAGUUUUAGUGUAAAACAAAUGGAGGGAUGCCUAAUUGGGUCAGUUGAUUAAGGUUUUGCCUUCAGCCCGGGUCAUGAUCUUGGGGUUCUGGGAUGGAGUCCCGCAUCAGGCUCCCUGCUCACCGGGGAUCCUGCUUCUCCCUCUGCCUGCUGCUCCCCCUGCUAAUACUCUUGCUCUCUCUCUUUCUCUCUCUCUCUGAUAAAUAAAUAAAUUCUCUUAAAAAAACA
rnacentral:lncRNA from 1 species